rnacentral:tRNA from 1 species
GGUGUAGUUUCGGAAAAAAUGAUUUUGAACAUCAUUCUAAAGAAGUUCGACUCUUCUAUACACCU